UACGGAGGGUGCGAGCGUUGUCCGGAAUCACUGGGCGUAAAGGGGCGUAGGCGGCGCGAGGAGUCGGGGGUGAAAGUCCGGGGCUCAACCCCGGAUCGGCCUUCGAGACUCUCGCGCUGGAGCACAGUAGAGGCGGGUGGAAUUCCGGGUGUAGCGGUGGAAUGCGUAGAGAUCCGGAAGAACACCGGUGGCGAAGGCGGCCCGCUGGGCUGUGGCUGACGCUGAGGCGCGACAGCGUGGGGAGCAAACAGG
rnacentral:rRNA from 1 species